UACAGAGGUGGCUAGCGUUGUUCGGAAUUACUGGGCGUAAAGGGCGCGUAGGCGGCUUGGUCAGUCCCGUGUGAAAUCCCUCGGCUCAACUGAGGAACUGCACGGGAAACUGCCUGGCUUGAGUUCGGGAGAGGGAAGCGGAAUUCCGGGUGUAGCGGUGAAAUGCGUAGAUAUCCGGAGGAACACCGAUGGCGAAGGCAGCUCGCUGGGACGGUACUGACGCUGGAGACGCGGAAAGCGUGGGGAGCAAACAGG
rnacentral:rRNA from 1 species